rnacentral:rRNA from 1 species
AACUGUGUGCGGUGGAUCACUUGGCUCGU